UGGCGAACGGGUGAGUAACACGUGAGUAACCUGCCCUUGACUUUGUGAUAACUUCAGGAAACUGGGGCUAAUACCGGAUAGGAGCUCCUGCUGCAUGGUGGGGGUUGGAAAGUUUCGGCGGUUGGGGAUGGACUCGCGGCUUAUCAGCUUGUUGGUGGGGUAGUGGCUUACCAAGGCUUUGACGGGUAGCCGGCCUGAGAGGGUGACCGGCCACAUUGGGACUGAGAUACGGCCCAG
rnacentral:rRNA from 1 species